ACCCCGUCUUUUGCUCAAGAUGAAGUGUAAUAUCUGUUCUUAUCAGCUUAAUAUCUGAUACAUCCUCUAUCUGAAGACAGUAUAUUAAAUGGAUUUUUGGAGCAGCGAGAUGGAACAGGGGCUUGCUCCAGUCACUCUAUGCAUGGACCCGGCAUUACUUCCAGGAGUGGUGUGCACGCCCC